GGCCGGGUAGCUCAGUUGGUAGAGCAGGGGAUUGAAAAUCCCCGUGUCGGGGGUUCGAUUCCCUCCCCGGCCACCA
rnacentral:tRNA from 149 species